UACAGAGGUGGCAAGCGUUGUUCGGAAUUACUGGGCGUAAAGGGCGCGUAGGCGGCCUUCUAAGUCAGACGUGAAAUCCCCCGGCUUAACCUGGGAACUGCGUCUGAUACUGGAGGGCUUGAGUAUGGGAGAGGGAUGUAGAAUUCCAGGUGUAGCGGUGAAAUGCGUAGAUAUCUGGAGGAAUACCGGUGGCGAAGGCGGCAUCCUGGACCAUUACUGACGCUGAGGAGCGAAAGCGUGGGGAGCGAACAGG
rnacentral:rRNA from 1 species